UGUUGUGUCUGAUGUUUUGGGUGAUGUUAUGUUGUUGCUAUAUGGAGUUUUUUUUUUGUUUUUGGAAAUUAUGUAAUGUGUGGCAGUCCUCAUUGAUGCAUGUUUUGUAAUAUUUAGGGCUCUUAAAUAGUUCCUUGGAUUUGGUCAUUAUCUCAGCUAUCACAGCUGUGUAUGAUGAUGGUUUGUACUUCCUGAAUAUUAUGUUUUAACAUGCUUA
rnacentral:lncRNA from 1 species